rnacentral:lncRNA from 12 species
AGAAAUCAUUCUAAUAUGCUGAUUUGUAGAAAUCAUGAUGCUUCUUGUCAGAAUUCUUUGAUGAAUAGUAAUUAAAAAAGAACAGCUUUUAUUUGAAAUACAUUAAGUUGUGACAUAAAUGUCUUUGCUGUGUCUUUUGAUCAAUUAAAUGCAUCCUUGCUGAAUAAAUGUAAAAAAAAAAAAAAUCAUCCUUCAUUAUCCAUAUUGUGAAAUGGUUCAUUAAAUUGAUAUACAUUUCUGUAAUAACAUUUAAAAUGAUCAUAUAAUAAAUGUAUCAUCUUUUUUGUCUUUUUCAGAUUUCCUUUGAAAAGGAUUGCAAGGUUACAGACUGUAAACCAAAUAUUACAUUAUCUGAUUCAAAAAUUAGGUAUGUACUGAUUAACUGCACUCUAUUUUAAUUUUUUUCUGUUUUUGUAACUAAAAUAAUUUAUAUUUCAGUAAAACUUCCAUCAUAAUCGGAGAAACUCAAAGCUUGAGUAUCAAUUUCAGUCUUAUAAACACUGAAGACCCUUCCUAUAUGACCACCUUGACUUUGACCUUCCCCAGCAUACUGAGUCACAAGAAAAUAGAAGGUGCCACCUGUCCUGUGAAGAAUGACAAUCAGAUAGAGUGUAAUCUUCAACACCCUGUUUUCAAAAGAGGAGCACGGGUAUGAAUCAGUCACACAUCUUUAAAACAUUAGAAAUCUGACCUCAUUUGCACCUGAUUUUCAGUAAUGAAAAGUUUUUUUUUGUUGUUGUUGUUUUUUUCAGACCAACUUUUUCAUCUCAUGGCAUCUCAAUGACAUCAAAUCAGAUUUGAAGAAGUCUGAGAUUAUUGUCUUAUCUAACCAGGUUUGACAGCUGCAUUUCCAAAAAAGAAUUUCGUGUAGAAACUAUUUUUACUCAGAAAUUGCUAGUAAAGUAUACAAUUACAGAAAAACGUCAAGUGACACAUUUAAUUAGAUGUGAAAUUUUGAAGUAAAAUAGUGCUUUCUUGUAAAAUGUGCUCCAAUAAUCUUUUAAUUAAAUACGUUUACUUUUUUACAGUGUAUAAAAAUCAGCUUUUUUUAUUUUUAAACAUUUAUUUUGAAAACAUUUUCUCUGGUUUUAGUCAGAAUCAUGGCUCUGAAAUUCUGGACUAUAAAAUAUACGCAUUUGCUGUGAAGUAUUCCCUUCCAAUCCAGCUAACUGGCUCAGCCCAUCCAAGCAGACUUAGUAUUGAAGAGGGAGAAGAAGGAAAGACUCAGAAGCUGCAGUUUGUAUUUCAGGUACAGUAUAUAAAAAUUCAGUCUCAAAACAGAAUGAGCUAA